UACGGGGGGGGGCAAGCGUUGUUCGGAAUUACUGGGCGUAAAGGGCUCGUAGGCGGCCAACUAAGUCAGACGUGAAAUCCCUCGGCUUAACCGGGGAACUGCGUCUGAUACUGGUUGGCUUGAGUGUGGGAGAGGGAUGCGGAAUUCCGAGGUGUAGCGGUGAAAUGCGUAGAUAUCUGGAGGAACACCGGUGGCGAAGGCGGCAUCCUGGACCAUUACUGACGCGUGAGGAGCGAAAGCCAGGGGAGCAAACGGG
rnacentral:rRNA from 1 species